rnacentral:misc_RNA from 1 species
GUAGGUGAACCUGCGGAAGGAUCAUUAACCUUUCAAAUCAGGGUGCGUCGCGGCCCCCGAGGAGCGGAAACAAUCCUUGGGAGGUUUGCGGAGUCUUCGGACCCCUUAACGCACGCACGACUGCCAUCCUUACUUUACGAGCACCUUCUGUUCUCCCUCGGCGGGGCAACCUGCCGUUGGAACCGAAUAAACUCUUUUUGCAUCUAGCAUUACCUGUUCCGAAACAAACAAUCGUUACAACUUUCAACAAUGGAUCUCUUGGCUCUG